rnacentral:rRNA from 1 species
AGUGCCUCGCAAGAGGAGCCCGAUGACAGGUGCUGCAUGGCUGUCGUCAGCUCGUGUUGUGAAAUGUUGGGUUAAGUCCCGCAACGAGCGCAACCCUUAUCCUUUGUUGCCAGCGGUCCGGCCGGGAACUCAAAGGAGACUGCCAGUGAUAAACUGGAGGAAGGUGGGAUGACGUCAAGUCAUCAUGGCCCUUACGACCAGGGCUACACACGUGCUACAAUGGCGCAUACAAAGAGAAGCGACCUCGCGAGAGCAAGCGGACCUCAUAAAGUGCGUCGUAGUCCGGAUUGGAGUCUGCAACUCGACUCCAUGAAGUCGGAAUCGCUAGUAAUCGUGGAUCAGAAUGCCACGGUGAAUACGUUCCCGGGCCUU